AAGUCGUAACAAGGUUUCCGUAGGUGAACCUGCGGAAGGAUCAUUAACACGUAUAUCGUUUUAACCAUCCCUCAACCCCUCUGUGAACUUAAAAAAAAACAUUUUAAACCUAAAUCCCGUUCUGGCUCUCGUAGGCCUGUUCAGGUCGCUCCAGCUUGACUUCUUGGCUUUCGGGCUGCUGUUUAAGCGUGCGUUUCAUCGUUCUUUCACGAGAAUGGUGAGAUGGCAGAGCGUUUCAACCAAAACCCUUGACUAUUAUUACUGAAACCCCCCCUAACUUUAGGCGAGGCGCAAGCUUUGUCUGGUUAACAAAAAUACAAAAACAACUCUUAACAACGGAUAUCUUGGUUCUC
rnacentral:misc_RNA from 1 species